AUACAGUUUGCCCGCUGCCGCAAAAUCGGCAGCCGGGCGUGGAAACCCGAGCA
rnacentral:ncRNA from 1 species